rnacentral:rRNA from 2 species
GCCCCUAUCAUGCAGUCGAGCGAACUGAUUAGAAGCUUGCUUCUAUGACGUUAGCGGCGGACGGGUGAGUAACACGUGGGCAACCUGCCUGUAAGACUGGGAUAACUUCGGGAAACCGAAGCUAAUACCGGAUAGGAUCUUCUCCUUCAUGGGAGAUGAUUGAAAGAUGGUUUCGGCUAUCACUUACAGAUGGGCCCGCGGUGCAUUAGCUAGUUGGUGAGGUAACGGCUCACCAAGGCAACGAUGCAUAGCCGACCUGAGAGGGUGAUCGGCCACACUGGGACUGAGACACGGCCCAGACUCCUACGGGAGGCAGCAGUAGGGAAUCUUCCGCAAUGGACGAAAGUCUGACGGAGCAACGCCGCGUGAGUGAUGAAGGCUUUCGGGUCGUAAAACUCUGUUGUUAGGGAAGAACAAGUACGAGAGUAACUGCUCGUACCUUGACGGUACCUAACCAGAAAGCCACGGCUAACUACGUGCCAGCAGCCGCGGUAAUACGUAGGUGGCAAGCGUUAUCCGGAAUUAUUGGGCGUAAAGCGCGCGCAGGCGGUUUCUUAAGUCUGAUGUGAAAGCCCACGGCUCAACCGUGGAGGGUCAUUGGAAACUGGGGAACUUGAGUGCAGAAGAGAAAAGCGGAAUUCCACGUGUAGCGGUGAAAUGCGUAGAGAUGUGGAGGAACACCAGUGGCGAAGGCGGCUUUUUGGUCUGUAACUGACGCUGAGGCGCGAAAGCGUGGGGAGCAAACAGGAUUAGAUACCCUGGUAGUCCACGCCGUAAACGAUGAGUGCUAAGUGUUAGAGGGUUUCCGCCCUUUAGUGCUGCAGCUAACGCAUUAAGCACUCCGCCUGGGGAGUACGGUCGCAAGACUGAAACUCAAAGGAAUUGACGGGGGCCCGCACAAGCGGUGGAGCAUGUGGUUUAUUUCGAAGCAACGCGAAGAACCUUUACCAGGUCUUGACAUCCUCUGACACUCUAGAGAUAGAGCGUUCCCCUUCGGGGGACAGAGUGACAGGUGGUGCAUGGUUGUCGUCAGCUCGUGUCGUGAGAUGUUGG